GCGAGUGCAGUGAUGAUGCAAUUGUAUGUGGACUAGAGUUUCUGAUACUAUCCGUAGUUGAAGACUAACCCUUGGCUGUCUGAGCACUCUC
rnacentral:snoRNA from 1 species